AAUGAAACUAGAUACAAGCGAGCGGCGGACGGGUGAGUAACACGUGGGUAACCUGCCCAAGAGACUGGGAUAACACCUGGAAACAGAUGCUAAUACCGGAUAACAACACUAGACGCAUGUCUAGAGUUUGAAAGAUGGUUCUGCUAUCACUCUUGGAUGGACCUGCGGUGCAUUAGCUAGUUGGUAAGGUAACGGCUUACCAAGGCAAUGAUGCAUAGCCGAGUUGAGAGACUGAUCGGCCACAUUGGGACUGAGACACGGCCCAAACUCCUACGGGAGGCAGCAGUAGGGAAUCUUCCACAAUGGACGAAAGUCUGAUGGAGCAACGCCGCGUGAGUGAAGAAGGGUUUCGGCUCGUAAAGCUCUGUUGGUAGUGAAGAAAGAUAGAGGUAGUAACUGGCCUUUAUUUGACGGUAAUUACUUAGAAAGUCACGGCUAACUACGUGCCAGCAGCCGCGGUAAUACGUAGGUGGCAAGCGUUGUCCGGAUUUAUUGGGCGUAAAGCGAGUGCAGGCGGUUCAAUAAGUCUGAUGUGAAAGCCUUCGGCUCAACCGGAGAAUUGCAUCAGAAACUGUUGAACUUGAGUGCAGAAGAGGAGAGUGGAACUCCAUGUGUAGCGGUGGAAUGCGUAGAUAUAUGGAAGAACACCAGUGGCGAAGGCGGCUCUCUGG
rnacentral:rRNA from 1 species